rnacentral:rRNA from 1 species
AUGGGGAGAACCACACCUAACCCUAUUUGGUGUCAGAUAUGGAAGUUAUCAUGUCCGGCAAAAGUCAAAAAAAUAUGGCGUACGUUACAUGGCACUCUCCCAUGCCAGGCAACACUUGCUAAUAGACACAUGAAGGUCUCGCCCCUUUGUCCUACUUGCUCUCGGGGUGUAGAAGACACGAAGCACAUGCUUUUCCUAUGUACUAAAGCAAAGGAGGUUUGGAAGAGGCUAGGAAUAGAUGAGAUUAUUGAUAGAGCUUGUGAGGUUGAUCGUGCUAGAGAGGCAAUACUGGAAUACCUUUUAGUUCUCCCAGAUCAAGAUUUGCAUAUUAUGGGGUACCAAAAUAUACGAGAAAUGAUAGCUAUUUCAGCUUGGUAUCUAUGGUGGGAGAGACAGAAAUUAGUGCACAAGAAAACAACUCAGAUAUUAAUGGGGAUCAUAGCCCCCACAUACAAUUUUGUAAAUGCAUCAUCUUCAAAGGCGUCCAUGAAAAAGGGGGGGUUGGCAUUGUCCCCCUAG